GGCUCAGGAUGAACGCUGGCGGCGUGCUUAACACAUGCAAGUCGAACGAAGCACUUUAAUUGAUUUCUUCGGAAUGAAGUUUUUGUGACUGAGUGGCGGACGGGUGAGUAACGCGUGGGUAACCUGCCUCAUACAGGGGGAUAACAGUUGGAAACGACUGCUAAUACCGCAUAAGCGCACAGGAUUGCAUGAUCCAGUGUGAAAAACUCCGGUGGUAUGAGAUGGACCCGCGUCUGAUUAGCCAGUUGGCGGGGUAACGGCCCACCAAAGCGACGAUCAGUAGCCGACCUGAGAGGGUGACCGGCCACAUUGGGACUGAGACACGGCCCAAACUCCUACGGGAGGCAGCAGUGGGGAAUAUUGCACAAUGGGGGAAACCCUGAUGCAGCGACGCCGCGUGAGCGAAGAAGUAUUUCGGUAUGUAAAGCUCUAUCAGCAGGGAAGAAGAAUGACGGUACCUGACUAAGAAGCACCGGCUAAAUACGUG
rnacentral:rRNA from 1 species